AGUCUUCUCCUGUUUGCUUUCCGAACAAGAUGUAAAACCCUCAGCUCCUCCAACGCCAUGCCUCCCAUCAUGAUGAUAAUGGACUGAACCUCAGAACCAAAAAGGAGCCAGGAUACAAGAGAUGCUGGAAGACUUAAGUGUAAAGCUCAGCCCUGUCACUGAGUCACCCGGGUCACUUCCUGGCAUGAAAUCAAGGCAUAAGCCCCAUCAGAAAUACCUGCUGUGCCCGUGGAGGGGGAUAAAGGUGUGUAACUGUCCUACACGCUGCUGUUUUCAGUCAUUGUGAUCUGAACACUCCUGUUAUGAGUGGGCGGCGACUGCGCAGUGGCUUUUGUUUUGAUGAACUGUGCUUUUCUUUGCCAUUCCUGAGACUAGCGUAGUCUCCCUGACUCUGAAGACCAGCAACAAUUUAUGAUAUGUGUGAGUCAUCGUGGGAGAGUUACAGAGGAAGAGCAGAAGUCACCCUUGGGUCACAGUCCAAUAGCAUUCAAAGGGAUGAGCAAAGCCUGCGGUGACUGCUGGAGCAGUCUGGAUGCAAAUCUGUAUGCUACCCAAAUGCCAAAGGCUCUCCUUGUCCCGACCGGCUGGUGCUGGCUUUACUGAGACUGUGUCAUAUGCUCUGCUGAGGACAUAGUGCCUGCUUGUGACUUCUCAUGGUCUGCAUAAUAGAGACAGGUAAAUGGGAAAGGAAGUUUCAAGUUGAUGUCAGGUCUGACGGCAAGUGCAGGGCUCAGGGACUGAGAAACAAGAAUCUCAUCGCCUGUGAUUAAAACCCACAGAACACCAGGCAAGAGAAACAAGAAAGAACAGUUGGCCUUCAGUGAAACUAGAGAUGAUACACUUGGAACAAUAAAAAUGACCCCGCUUCAGGCUGGAGUUGUACAUCAGUGGUGGAGCGAUUACCCACCUAGCAGGGCAAGCACCGGGGCACCAUCCCCAGCAGGGAGAAAAAAGUUUUCACAACGACAUCAGACAUUUACACAAGGGUCUAGUCCUUAAACCUAAGUUGAAAAGCCUUUCUACAAGCAAGGACUGACUUCUGAUUCUAGUUUAGUUGCUCUCUCUGCUUGUGAGGCCCCAGCAGGCCUGCUGGUUUCUUUAGGAUCUAUUUUCCCAUGUAGAGGCAGAGGUAGAGGUAGAGAUAGAGGUAGAGGUAGAGGUAGAGGUAGAGGUAGAGGUAGAGGUAGAGGUAGAGGUAGAGGUAGAGGUAGAGGUAGAGGUAGAGGUAGAGGUAGAGGUAGAGGUAGGGGGUGUGGAAAGAUGGCUUAGUUGGUAAGAGUACUGGCUGCUCCUGUACAAGACCAGAGUUUGAUUUUCAGCACCCACAUCAGAUGACUCAACUGCCUGCAACUCUAGCUACAGGGGAUCUGACAGCCUCUUCAGCCUCCAGGAGCACUCUCUCACACGCACACUUGUACAUACACACAUGCACACAAUUUUUUUUUAAAAAACCUUAAAAAGCAAAAACAGAUUUCUCCAAGCUUUAUAAGGUCUCAAACUCGGUCUGAGCUACAGUCCUUCAAACGCUCCCAGAGGCCACCUCCACGGCGUGACAUUUAUCACCUUCUAAUGAGCACUCUGCUCCUGUGUCCUGGGUUCUGGAUCUGCAGACUCACCAACUGUCAAUCAAAAGCACUCCGAAUGGCUGCAUCAUUGGCUCUGUGGUCAGCCCUGGGAACCAGAGAUUAAAAGGCUAUCAGAGCCGGGCAGUGGUGGCGCAUGCCUUUAAUCCCAGCACUCGGGAGGUAGAGGCAGGUGGAUUUCUGAGUUUGAGGCCAGCCUGGUCUACAAAGUGAGUUCCAGGACAGCCAAGAAACCCUGUCUCAAAAAACC
rnacentral:lncRNA from 1 species